rnacentral:rRNA from 1 species
UUGGGCACUCUAAGGGUGACUGCCGGCCAAAAGUCGGAGGAAGUGGGGAUGACGUCAAAUCAUCAUGCCCCUUAUGACCCUGGGCUACACACGUGCUACAAUGGGCGGUACAAAGGGUCGCGAACCCGCGAGGGGGAGCCCAAAUCCCAAAAAGCCGCUCUCAGUUCGGAUUGCAGGCUGCAACUCGCCUGCAUGAAGCCGGAAUCGCUAGUAAUCGCGGAUCAAGCAUGCCGCGGUGAAUACGUUCCCGGGCCUU